AUAAUCACUCGUUCUCUAAAUCAGGACUAGUAUGAACGGCCCCACGAGAGCUGUACUGUCUCCCCCCCUCAAUCAGUGAAACUGAUCUCCCCGUGAAGAAGCGGGGACAUCCCUAUAAGACGAGAAGACCCCAUGGAGCUUUAAACUUACACCACUGCUCCCCCCCCCACCAAGAUAAUUUAUGCAGCCUGGUGACUAGUCUUUUGGCUGGGGCGACCGCGGAGAAAAACAAAACCUCCAUGAUGAAAGAACACCCUAAUUAAAGAGCCACUGCUCUAAAAAUCAACAAAUUGACAUAAAUUGACCCAAAUUUUUUGAUCAACGAACCUAGUUACCCUGGGGAUAACAGCGCAAUCCAUUUCGAGAGACCCCAUCAACAAAUGGGCUUACGACCUCGAUGUUGGAUCAGGGUAUCCUGGUGGUGCAGCCGCUACCAAGGGUUCGUUUGUUCAACGAUUAAAACCCU
rnacentral:rRNA from 1 species